ACGGCGAGUGAAGCGGCAAAAGCUCAAAUUUGAAAUCCCCCGGGAAUUGUAAUUUGAAGAGAUUUGGGUCCGGCCGGCGGGGGUUAAGUCCACUGGAAAGUGGCGCCACAGAGGGUGACAGCCCCGUGAACCCCUUUAACGCCCUCAUCCCAGAUCUCCAAGAGUCGAGUUGUUUGGGAAUGCAGCUCUAAGUGGGUGGUAAAUUCCAUCUAAAGCUAAAUACCGGCGAGAGACCGAUAGCGAACAAGUACAGUGAUGGAAAGAUGAAAAGCACUUUGAAAAGAGAGUGAAAAAGUACGUGAAAUUGUUGAAAGGGAAGGGCUUGCAAGCAGACACUUAACUGGGCCAGCAUCGGGGCGGCGGGGAGCAAAACCACCGGGGAAUGUACCUUUCGAGGAUUAUAACCCCGGCCCUUACUCCCAUACUGCCCC
rnacentral:rRNA from 1 species